GGAGAGUUGAGACCUGGGAUAAAAGAGCGAGCUCUGGAUCCAGCAGAGGGGCAGCUGUGACUCAGCGAUUAUUGAGGCCCCAUGGAGCUGGGACCCAAACCUCCAAAAAUGGCAUGCGGGCCGGCUCGUGCUUGAAUCUCAGUGAGAGAUCCAACUGCGCUGGUUUGGAGGUGUGGAAAAACCACCUGCUCUGCCAGGAUAAAGAACUGUUGCUGGGGUGACAAGGACAGGAAGAGGAAGAACCCAGGAAGGGAGGAACUGUUGCAGACACACUCUCCAAGUGACUCACUCUGGACUUUGGCUUCCUGAGUCGCAGGAGCCCUACUCUCCUGAACGUUCACUCCAUCCAGCCAUCUCCAUGGGAGCCCACUGAAGGCUCCAACUCAAGGAAUCCCUGCAGCCCCUGAAGGCUUGGAGCUUGUUAAGCGUGUGUGUGUGUGUGUAUACAUGUGUGUGUGUGUGUUUCAGUUUACACCCUGUGUCUGUAUAGCUCGUUGGAGGAUACUUGUGAGCCCGGUUGGGAUAAGCUGAUGGUGGCCUCUGUAAAGACUCUACAUUCACUGGAGUGUGCUCAGGAAAGUGCCCCUAGAUACUUCUUUUCUGAAUAAGCUGCUGAGACUUGUGGUUUGGAGGUGAAAGCAG
rnacentral:lncRNA from 1 species